UACGUAGGGGGGCAAGCGUUGUCCGGAAUUAUUGGGCGUAAAGAGCGUGUAGGCGGCCAGAUAAGUCCGCUGUGAAAUCUCGAGGCUCAACUUCGAGCUGUCGGUGGAAACUAUCUGGCUAGAGUCCGGAAGAGGAGAAUGGAAUUCCUGGUGUAGCGGUGAAAAUGCGCAGAUAUCAGGAAGAACACCCGUGGCGAAGGCGGUUCUCUGGGACGGUACUGACGCUGAGACGCGAAAAGCGUGGGGAGCGAACAGG
rnacentral:rRNA from 1 species